AGCAAAAAUAUUAAUAAAUUAUUGUAACACACAUUAUAUGCUAAUUUUGAAAUUAAUUUUCUUUGGCAUUUGGCAAUAAACUAAGGGCCUGUUCUCUCCACCUUAUUUUCAGUUUAGUUCGAUUCAGUUCAAUUCAACUUUGGACAAUACUUUUACUCUCACAUAUCACUAUUCAUUUCAGUUCAGUUCAAUUCAGUUUAGUUCAGUUCAAUUCAGAUCAGUUGAACUGUUUUAAGCCGAAAAGAACAUGCCCUAAGUUGUUCACUCCAACACAUUAAGCAAAAACGAUUUGCAUGUUGCACAAACUUUUCUUUUUUUUCUCUAUUUUCUAUUGACAACUAUACUCACCGCUAUACCAAAUGAAUUUUAUUUGUAAGAUUUUGACUUCAAGUUUUGUUUUCAUUAGAAAAUCCAUUCCCCUAUUUCACCCCUUUUCUAUUUCUCUAUCUGUCUAGCUUUUCGUUCUCUAUAACUUUCUAGAGUCUUCUUCUUAUACCUUUCUCAAAUGAAGGUACCCAAAUCAGAUACAAACCAAAACAUUGACAAAAUUGCUAUGGGAAUUAUUUCUUCUUGCCGACAUGAAAGAAAAUUGGCAAAAUCUCAUGAAAUUUUUCAUCACUCGUCAGUGCCUUAUACUGGUGAGGGAGAAUGUGGAAGGUGGCCAAUGGCUAUGCCUAUACUCAUUCUUCAUUUAUUUUACAGGAUGAUGCAACAGUGUAGGUAAACGAGCUCAGAAAUUCAACUAGACUAUGACUUGUUGAAUGUAUAUUACUUUUUCCGUUUUUUCUAAUUGUUAUAUUUUGUUAUUUUCGGAUAUUUUAUUUUAUCUGAUAUAUUUGUUAAAUAUUUUUAUUUUUAGUAUGGGGUAUUCAGAUAUCAUUUAUCUUUGUAUUUUUAUUUUCGUCUUCAUCACACAAAAAAACUAUUACUUUAUGCUUUA